GGGGGGAGGCUGGAUCCUCGGCUGGGUCCUGGCGCCCAGUGCUCCCGGGCCUGCGCUGUUGGAUUGUGCUCCCGGCUGCCCAGCCGCCU
rnacentral:pre_miRNA from 1 species